rnacentral:rRNA from 1 species
UACGUAGGGGGCAAGCGUUGUCCGGAUUUAUUGGGCGUAAAGAGCGUGUAGGCGGCUAGAUAGGUCCGUUGUGAAAACUCGAGGCUCAACCUCGAGACGUCGAUGGAAACCAUCUGGCUAGAGUCCGGAAGAGGAGAGUGGAAUUCCUGGUGUAGCAGUGAAAUGCGCAGAUAUCAGGAAGAACACCCGUGGCGAAGGCGGCUCUCUGGGACGGUACUGACGCUGAGACGCGAAAGCGUGGGGAGCGAACAGG